GAAGCUGACCAGACAGUCGCCGCUUCGUCGUCGUCCUCUUCGGGGGAGACGGGCGGAGGGGAGGAAAGUCCGGGCUCCAUAGGGCAGGGUGCCAGGUAACGCCUGGGGGGGAAACCCACGACCAGUGCAACAGAGAGCGUACGGCCCGUACUGAACCCGGGUAGGCUGCUUGAGCCAGUGAGCGAUUGCUGGCCUAGAUGAAUGACUGUCCACGACAGAACCCGGCUUAUCGGUCAGCUUCACUC
rnacentral:RNase_P_RNA from 1 species